UACGUAGGGUGCGAGCAUUGUCCGGAAUUAUUGGGCGUAAAGAGCUCGUAGGCGGCCUGUCGCGUCGGAUGUGAAAGCCCGGGGCUUAACCCCGGGUCUGCAUUCGAUACGGGCAGGCUGGAGUUCGGUAGGGGAGAUCGGAAUUCCUGGUGUAGCGGUGAAAUGCGCAGAUAUCAGGAGGAACACCGGUGGCGAAGGCGGGUCUCUGGGCCGAUACUGACGCUGAGGAGCGAAAGCGUGGGGAGCGAACAGG
rnacentral:rRNA from 1 species